rnacentral:rRNA from 1 species
UACGUAGGGGGCAAGCGUUGUUCGGAAUUACUGGGCGUAAAGGGCCAGUAGGCGGCCAACUAAGUCACACGUGAAAUCCCCAGGCUUAACCUGGGAACUGCGUGUGAUACUGGAUGGCUUGAAUUCGGGAGAGGGAUGCAGAAUUCCAGGUGUAGCGGUGAAAUGCGUAGAUAUCUGGAGGAAUACCGGUGGCGAAGGCGGCAUCCUGGACCGAGAUUGACGCUGAACGGCGAAAGCUAGGGGAGCAAACGGG